rnacentral:rRNA from 1 species
GACGAACGCUGGCGGCGUGCUUAACACAUGCAAGUCGAACGGAAAGGCCUGCUUUCCCUUGUGGAUUGCGGGUACUCGAGUGGCGAACGGGUGAGUAACACGUGAGUGAUCUGCCCCCAACUUGGGUAUAAGCCUGGGAAACUGGGUCUAAUUCCCGAUAGGACUGCAGGGUGGUGCCUGUGGUGGAAAACGAUUUUCUAGUGGUUGGGGAUGAGCUCGCGGCCUAUCAGCUUGUUGGUGGGGUAAUGGCCUACCAAGGCGGCGACGGGUAGCCGGCCUGAGAGGGUGGACGGCCACAUUGGGACUGAGAUACGGCCCAGACUCCUACGGGAGGCAGCAGUGGGGAAUAUUGCACAAUGGGCGGAAGCCUGAUGCAGCGACGCCGCGUGGGGGAUGACGGCCUUCGGGUUGUAAACUCCUUUCGACCGCGAGGAAGCCACCUGGUUGGAAGGGUGGUGACGGUAGUGGUAGAAGAAGCACCGGCUAACCACGUG